rnacentral:rRNA from 1 species
GACGAACGCUGGCGGCGUGCUUAACACAUGCAAGUCGAACGAAAAGAGGGAAAGAGCUUGCUCUUUCCGGAAUUGAGUGGCAAACGGGUGAGUAACACGUAAACAACCUGCCUUCAGGAUGGGGACAACAGACGGAAACGACUGCUAAUACCGAAUAAGUUCCAAGGGCCGCAUGGCCCAUGGAAGAAAAGGUGGCCUCUACCUGUAAGCUAUCGCCUGAAGAGGGGUUUGCGUCUGAUUAGCUGGUUGGUGGGGUAACGGCCCACCAAGGCGACGAUCAGUAGCCGGUCUGAGAGGAUGAACGGCCACACUGGAAGUGAGACACGGUCCAGACUCCUACGGGAGGCAGCAGUGGGGAAUCUUCCGCGAUGGGCGAAAGCCUGACGGAGCAACGCCGCGUGAGUGAUGACGGCCUUCGGGUUGUAAAACUCUGUGAUCCGGGACGAAAAGGCAGAGUGCGAAGAACAAACUGCAUUGACGGUACCGGAAAAGCAAGCCACGGCUAACUACGU